rnacentral:rRNA from 1 species
AACGAACGCUGGCGGCAGGCUUAACACAUGCAAGUCGAACGCCCCGCAAGGGGAGUGGCAGACGGGUGAGUAACACGUGGGAACAUGCCCAAAGGUACGGAACAACUCCGGGAAACUGAAGCUAAUACCGUAUGUGCCCGAAAGGGGAAAGAUUUAUCGCCUUUGGAUUGGCCCGCGUCGGAUUAGCUAGUUGGUGGGGUAAAAGCCUACCAAGGCGACGAUCCGUAGCUGGUUUGAGAGAACGACCAGCCACACUGGGACUGAGACACGGCCCAGACUCCUACGGGAGGCAGCAGUGGGGAAGCUUGGACAAUGGGCGCAAGCCUGAUCCAGCCAUGCCGCGUGGAUGAUGAAGGCCUUAGGGUUGUAAAAUCCUUUCGUUGGGGACGAUAAUGACGGUACCCAAAGAAGAAGCCCCGGCUAACUUCGUGCCAGCCGCCGCGGUAA